AACGAACGCUGGCGGCAUGCCUAACACAUGCAAGUCGAACGAAGGCUUCGGCCUUAGUGGCGCACGGGUGCGUAACGCGUGGGAAUCUGCCCUUGGGUUCGGAAUAACAGUGAGAAAUUACUGCUAAUACCGGAUGAUGACUUCGGUCCAAAGAUUUAUCGCCCAAGGAUGAGCCCGCGUAAGAUUAGCUAGUUGGUGAGGUAAAGGCUCACCAAGGCGACGAUCUGUAGCUGGUCUGAGAGGAUGAUCAGCCACACUGGGACUGAGACACGGCCCAGACUUCUACGGGAGGCAGCAGUGGGGAAUAUUGGACAAUGGGCGAAAGCCUGAUCCAGCAAUGCUGCGUGAGUGAUGAAGGCCUUAGGGUUGUAAAGCUCUUUCGCCGACGAAGAUAAUGACGGUAGUCGGAGAAGAAGCCCCGGCUAACUUCGUGCCAGCCGCCGCAGUAACAC
rnacentral:rRNA from 1 species